rnacentral:tRNA from 1 species
UGGGGCAUCGUCUAAUGGUAGGACAGCGGUUUCUGGAACCGUUAAUCGUGGUUCGAGUCCAUGUACCCCAG